rnacentral:pre_miRNA from 1 species
AUUGCCUUAGCUUUGACAUAAUUGGUUGACGACGAGAGAGAGCACACUUGUUAGCAUUCAUGCUGUGGUCAUGGGCGUCUAUAAGUGUGCUCUCUGCCGUCGUCAUACAAUAUGGUCAAAGAAGGUUUAUCUU